AAAGUGCUUCACAUAAUAUCAAACACAGAAUCCCAAUGCGACAUAGAAUCAAAAACACAGCAUUAAGUCAAGUUCCAUCAAUAAAUUUGUAAUUGAUUACAUUUCAAAUACAAUCCUAAACAGGUGGGUUUUAGUCGAGAUUUAAAGG